GAUAACUCCAAAAAUUUAAAAUAUAUAUAUUUUUAAUAUAUCGAAAAGGACAUAUAAGGAGCAUACGACUCGCACAACUACAUCAAAUUCAUUUACAAAAAAAAUGUAUAUACUUGAGUUCACAUUGCUUUAAAUUUCUCAAAUUUACUAUCUCUUUACUUGUGUUUAAUUUGAUGGCAUUUUAUUAGAAAACCAGCUCUUGGUUAUUUUUUUAAAAUUCUUUUACCCUCUGCAAGAGUAUUCAAGCUUCGGCAUGCCAAAGGACAGCUGUACAGUCUGUGGACAGGCUGCGGAGCUAACCGAGCGUCAAUUGUAAUAACAUAACAUCUAAGUGGGACUAUCCGCCUUGGAGCCGGCAUUCGAAUUGUCUUGCAUUUGAGC